rnacentral:tRNA from 1 species
AAGAUUUGGUACUCAAAAAUAGACUUCUAAUCUAAUUUUUAAGCAGUGAAAUUCUGUUUAAAUCUUU